CAGGAGCGCGUAGGGCCGCUCCUACUCUCUUCAGUCGUGCCGAUCUAUGGAUUUCCCCGAAUAAAUCUCUUUGGUUUUGGGAUUCACAAAAAUGAGCCAAUAAGCUUAUUUUAAACCGAAGUGCAUUGUAUUUUCAUCUAAGAAAGCUAUUUGAUGUGUAUGAGGGGAAAAUUUACAGAUUUACAAUUAAAGCAAACACGAUGGAAAUAAAAAUCGAACAAGCAAAGAGGAUUUACGUCACUAAACGGGGCGCGAACACGUCGAGGCCAUUUUCUUUAUCAGCCAUGUAGAAGUCCCUUAUCAUCAUACACGAAAAAAAUACAGGUGUGUGUGUGUGUGUGUGUGUGUGUGUGUGUGUGUGUGUGUAUAGAUGCGUGAUUGGCGUACGUGUGUGUACGUGAAAAUCCGUAUCAC